rnacentral:rRNA from 1 species
GCCAGCAGCCAUAUCACCCUGCAACUCACAACUGGCAACCCACUGAAGCUAGGCAGGUGUGAAGCCUGAUCAGUACCUGGAUGGGAGACCUCCUGGGAAAAACUGAAGUAGCUGCUGGAA